ACGGGAGGCAGCAGUGGGGAAUCUUAGACAAUGGGCGCAAGCCUGAUCUAGCCAUGCCGCGUGAUCGAUGAAGGCCUUAGGGUUGUAAAGAUCUUUCAGUGGGGAAGAUAAUGACGGUACCCACAGAAGAAGCCCCGGCUAACUCCGUGCCAGCAGCCGCGGUAAUACGGAGGGGGCUAGCGUUGUUCGGAAUUACUGGGCGUAAAGCGCACGUAGGCGGAUCAGGAAGUUGGGGGUGAAAUCCCGGGGCUCAACCCCGGAACUGCCUUCAAAACUCCUGGUCUUGAGUUCGAGAGAGGUGAGUGGAAUUCCGAGUGUAGAGGUGAAAUUCGUAGAUAUUCGGAGGAACACCAGUGGCGAAGGCGGCUCACUGGCUCGAUACUGACGCUGAGGUGCGAAAGUGUGGGGAGCAAACAGGAUUAGAUACCCUGGUAGUCCACACCGUAAACGAUGAAUGCCAGUCGUCGGGUAGCAUGCUAUUCGGUGACACACCUAACGGAUUAAGCAUUCCGCCUGGGGAGUACGGCCGCAAGGUUAAAACUCAAAGGAAUUGACGG
rnacentral:rRNA from 1 species